rnacentral:rRNA from 1 species
GAUGAACGCUGGCGGCGUGCCUAAUACAUGCAAGUCGAGCGAACAGAUAAGGAGCUUGCUCCUUUGACGUUAGCGGCGGACGGGUGAGUAACACGUGGGUAACCUACCUAUAAGACUGGAAUAACUCCGGGAAACCGGGGCUAAUGCCGGAUAACAUUUAGAACCGCAUGGUUCUAAAGUGAAAGAUGGUUUUGCUAUCACUUAUAGAUGGACCCGCGCCGUAUUAGCUAGUUGGUAAGGUAACGGCUUACCAAGGCAACGAUACGUAGCCGACCUGAGAGGGUGAUCGGCCACACUGGAGCUGAGACACGGUCCAGACUCCGACGGGAGGCAGCAGGAGGGAAUCUUCCGCAAUGGGCGAAAGCCUGACGGAGCAACGCCGCGUGAGUGAUGAAGGUCUUCGGAUCGUAAAACGCUGUUAUUAGGGAAGAACAAAUGUGUAAGUAACUGUGCACGUCUUGACGGUACCUAAUCAGAAAGCCACGGCUAACUACGU